GUCUGGGCUCAGCAUUGCCGGCGGAACCCAGCAAGUGUAUACACAAUGCUCCACAAGGAAAUCAAGCAAAUGGUGGCAAGGGCCCUCAGCCCCCCAGCAGGAGGAGGAGCAUCCUGUGGAUGUUAGGAAACCCCCGAGGAGGUUCACACCCAUUCGUUUGUUCCUGGUGCUUGACUGCCUUCUAGGCACAAGGGAAACACCUCCCUACCAGUGCAGAACUCCAGAGCGAAUAAUCAAGAGACACCAGUGACUAGAAAAAUCAGCGCAGUGGUGUCUGCAUUUUCAAAGUGGAAGAGGAUCUUAAACAGAGUCACAGCAGUCCCCUUGUUGGAGUCUUCAUUGGAAACUUUGGGAAGUUUGAACAUUUUGAGAAGCAGUAGUAUGUUCUUAUAAGGAGAAUAAAAGUGCUGUUUUCCACUAAUGGAAGAGACAGUGAUGCUAUAAUUGAGAUGUUUUCACAUACCAAGGAUACAAGAACAUAAGCGCUUGUAAUUUUGACAGAAGUUGCUCCUCUCCCCACUUAGAGACUACCAAGUUCAUGCCCUCCCAGAGAUGUAGGGCAUGCCUGCUCCCUCACACCUUUGCUGUUAGAGUGUUGCCAGCCUUCAAAACCCUUUACUAACAUGACAGAGCAUUUGCCUACACAAGAAAAAAAAAAUCAAUGACAUCAUGACAACACAGAAGAGAUCGGAGACCUUAUACCAGAGCCCCCAUGGCCUGUCUGCCCCGUGCUGUGUGGUAGCUACACACAUCUGGUCUUUGGUUGUAACCAUCUGGCUGUUGGAGCUCAGUGGGUGGGUCUCCUGCGUUCCAGAGCUCAAGCCAUUUGCCUCUAACUCCGUAGACUUCUUCCCUGUUUGUAACAAGUUCAGGCUUCUGUCACACUCCGCGGUGUCCUUACUGCUUCCUGGAAUGUGCAAGAAUUAUCAAUGUGUCAGCGCAAGUGCCCUCUUUAGAUACUCCCCCAAUUCCUGUUCCUGUCCUUUGUAAUACUUUCUUGAAUUGGAAACUAUAUUUUUGUGGGGGUAUUUACUUAAUGUCUUCUACUAUGUCUUUGUGGGGGGAGCUCUGUCCAGUUUUGAUUAUCAUUGUAUCUUCAGUGACUAAACUAAACAAAUGCCCCUAAAUACCUAAACUAAACUAAAUGCCCCUAAACAAAUAAGUAAGAAACCUGUAGUUCCAGGGCCCUACAACAUAAGAACAUAGUUGAUCUUGACUCAAACUUUCCCAUUUAUACCAAGAGCCUUGGUUAGUUUUCUGUUCAGUGCCAUUCUGUGUGCCCUUUGCUAUAAGAACACGGAUUUUGUUGUUGUUGUUGUUGUUGCUGCUCAGGUGGAAAAAUAUUCAGCCCAGGGAUAGAAUCACACAUCAGUGUAAACCAAUCAUGGCGUUCCCAUCCACUUCACCAGCAAGGCGUCACUGUUAUGCCGCAUCGUUCUGGCUAAUGAGUUAGGAAGCGAUGUCUUCCGGGAGGAUUUGGAAAACUUUGUGAGAGACAGAAAUAAAAAGAGAGUAUUCCUUUGCACUGUC